GAUGAACGCUGGCGGCGUGCCUAAUACAUGCAAGUCGAGCGAACAGACGAGGAGCUUGCUUCUCUGACGUUAGCGGCGGACGGGUGAGUAACACGUGGAUAACCUACCUAUAAGACUGGGAUAACUUCGGGAAACCGGAGCUAAUACCGGAUAAUAUUUUGAACCGCAUGGUUCAAUAGUGAAAGACGGUUUUGCUGUCACUUAUAGAUGGAUCCGCGCCGCAUUAGCUAGUUGGUAAGGUAACGGCUUACCAAGGCAACGAUGCGUAGCCGACCUGAGAGGGUGAUCGGCCACACUGGAACUGAGACACGGUCCAGACUCCUACGGGAGGCAGCAGUAGGGAAUCUUCCGCAAUGGGCGAAAGCCUGACGGAGCAACGCCGCGUGAGUGAUGAAGGUCUUCGGAUCGUAAAACUCUGUUAUUAGGGAAGAACAAAUGUGUAAGUAACUGUGCACGUCUUGACGGUACCUAAUCAGAAAGCCACGGCUAACUACGUG
rnacentral:rRNA from 1 species